rnacentral:misc_RNA from 1 species
CCCUUGUGGAGGAGGACGCCGAAGGUGGGGCUAAUGACUGGGGUGAAGUCGUAACAAGGUAGCCGUACCGGAAGGUGCGGCUGGAUCACCUCCUAACAGGGAGACAACAAAAUGUUUAAUAAUUAAUUUUGUCACCUUAGGUCGAUCGGUAUCUCACAUUCUUAAUUUAUUAAGGAUUUCUUUUCCUAAGUUUUUCUAGGUCACACCCAUUACUUUUCCUGGGCCAUUAGCUCAGGUGGUUAGAGCGCACCCCUGAUAAGGGUGAGGUCCCUGGUUCAAGUCCAGGAUGGCCCAUAUCUCUAUGUUGGGGGUAUAGCUCAGUUGGUAGAGCGCCUGCUUUGCAAGCAGGAUGUCAGCGGUUCGAGUCCGCUUACCUCCACUGAUUACCACCUCUUCCAUAAUUUUAUAGAUAAGGAAAUGUUUUGAGUCGUGAUCAAAUUCUGAACGAACCUAGCUUCCUAAUGAAAUCAUUAAGAUGCUGGACUCAUUGAAUUAAUUUCAUUGUUUUCAGAGAACCUUGACAACUGCAUAGAUUUUUUUUAAAGACAAUAAGCAUCUUUAAUGAUGCAGAUUUAUUAUUUGUGCAAAUGCAUUAAUAACAAUUCUAUUAAGCUGAUGCUUCAAUUUUUGAAGUUAUUGGUCAAGCUACAAAGGGCUCACGGAGGAUACCUAGGCACACAGAGGC